CCAAAGGCUCUUUUCAGAGCCAUCACCUCUUCAUAUGAGAGCCUAG
rfam:Neotoma lepida isolate 417 scaffold_1433, whole genome shotgun sequence.